UUUGAUCCUGGCUCAGGAUGAACGCUGGCGGCGUGCCUAACACAUGCAAGUCGAACGGGAAUCUUCGGAUUCUAGUGGCGGACGGGUGAGUAACGCGUAAGAAUCUAACUUCAGGACGGGGACAACAGUUGGAAACGGCUGCUAAUACCCGAUGUGCCGCAAGGUGAAACCUAAUUGGCCUGAAGAAGAGCUUGCGUCUUAUUAGCUAGUUGGUGGGGUAAGGGCCUACCAAGGCGACGAUCAGUAGCUGGUCUGAGAGGAUGAGCAGCCACACUGGGACUGAGACACGGCCCAGACUCCUACGGGAGGCAGCAGUGGGGAAUUUUCCGCAAUGGGCGAAAGCCUGACGGAGCAACGCCGCGUGAGGGAGGAAGGUCUUUGGAUUGUAAACCUCUUUUCUCAAGGAAGAAGUUCUGACGGUACUUGAGGAAUCAGCCUCGGCUAACUCCGUGCCAGCAGCCGCGGUAAUACGGGGGAGGCAAGCGUUAUCCGGAAUUAUUGGGCGUAAAGCGUCCGCAGGUGGUCAGCCAAGUCUGCCGUCAAAUCAGGUUGCUUAACGACCUAAAGGCGGUGGAAACUGGCAGACUAGAGAGCAGUAGGGGUAGCAGGAAUUCCCAGUGUAGCGGUGAAAUGCGUAGAGAUUGGGAAGAACAUCGGUGGCGAAAGCGUCCUACUGGGCUGUAUCUGACACUCAGGGACGAAAGCUAGGGGAGCGACAGGGAUUAGAUACCCCUGUAGUCCUAGCCGCAAACGAUGGAUACUAGGCGUGGCUUGUAUCGACCCGAGCCGUUCCGAAGAUAACGCGUUAAGUAUCCCGCCUGGGGGGUACGCACGCAAGUGUGAAACUCAAAGGUAUUGGCGGGGGCCCGCACAAGCGGGGGAGUAUGUGGUUUACUUCGAUGCAACGCGAAGAACCUUACCAAGUACUUGACAUGUCGCGAACCCUGGUGAAAGCUGGGGGUGCCUUCGGGAGCGCGAACACAGGUGGUGCAUUGCUGUCGUCAGCUCGUGUCGAGAAAUGUUGGGUUAAGUCCCGCAACGAGCGCAACCCUCGUUCUUAGUUGGCAGCAUUAAGUUGGGGACUCUAAGGAGACUGCCGGUGACAAACCGGAGGAAGGUGGGGAUGACGUCAAGUCAGCAUGCCCCUUACGUCUUGGGCGACACACGUACUACAAUGGUCGGGACAAAGGGCAGCGAACUCGCGAGAGCCAGCGAAUCCCAGCAAACCCGGCCUCAGUUCAGAUUGCAGGCUGCAACUCGCCUGCAUGAAGGAGGAAUCGCUAGUAAUCGCCGGUCAGCAUACGGCGGUGAAUUCGUUCCCGGGCCUUGUACACACCGCCCGUCACACCAUGGAAGCUGGUCACGCCCGAAGUCAUUACCUCAACCGCAAGGAGGGGGAUGCCUAAGGCAGGGGGAUGCCUAAGGCAGGGCUAGUGACUGGGGUGAAGUCGUAACAAGGUAACC
rnacentral:rRNA from 1 species